rnacentral:rRNA from 1 species
AGCAGCCGCGGUAAUUCCAGCUCCAAUAGCGUAUAUUAAAGUUGUUGCAGUUAAAAGCUCGUAGUUAAAUUUCGAGACCGGCUUACUGGUCGUGCUAUUGUGCGUACUGGUAUAAUCGGUUUCUCCUUUCUGACGAACUAUAAUGCCAUUAAUUUGGUGUUAUAGGGAAUCAGGACUGUUACUUUGAAAAAUUAGAGUGUUUAAAGCAGGCUCACGCUUGAAUACAUUAGCAUGGAAUAACGGAAUAGGACGUUUGAUUCUAUUUUGUUGGUUUCUAGGAUCGACGUAAUGAUUAAUAGGGAUAGUUGGGGGCAUUAGUAUUCAAUUGUCAGAGGUGAAAUUCUUGGAUUUAUUGAAGACUAACUACUGCGAAAGCAUUUGCCAAGAAUGUUUUCAUUAAUCAAGAACGAAAGUUAGGGGAUCGAAGACGAUCAGAUACCGUCGUAGUCUUAACCAUAAACUAUGCCGACUAGGGAUCGGAUGAUGUUAAUUUUUUAAUGUACUCA